GCCGGCGUAGCUCAGGGGCAGAGCAACGGUUUUGUAAACCGUAGGUCGUGGGUUCAAAUCCCUCCGCCGGCUCCA
rnacentral:tRNA from 1 species